CUGGUGGGCUACAGUCCAUAGUGUUGCAAAGAGUCAAACAGGACUGAAGCAACUGAGCACCCAUGCACACAGGUAACGAAACACACAAGGAGCAGAUUGCCUGAUUCGAAAGUCUGGAAGAGCAAAUGGACUGAAGAACACCAUCUUUCACACAAGGCUUCAGGAGAGUCCCAGCACCCCUCUGGACACGUGACACAUGAUGGUACAAGGUUUAGAAAAGGAAAAUCUGUCCCAUAUCUUUAUUGUCAAUUAGUGUUCACAUGCAGAAUGCUACAGGGAUUGUUGAAAACAACUAGUUUUCAUUACCUAUAUGUCAGUCACUGAAGUGCUUUAUAUGCAUGUUAUCAUUUCAUCUCCCUAAAAACACUAUAAUGUUGGCACUAAAACUGACUCAUUUUACAGACGAGGAAAUAAAGCUUUACUAUGCUUGAGUCACUGGUAUAAUGUCUCACAACUGGUAAUUAUAUCUUUGCAUGAUUUUGGUUAUUUGGCAAUCAUCCCUUUGGACUGUAAGUGGUAUAAGGACAGAGAUUGUGUCUUUAGAUGCCUCUAUUCAACAAACCUAGAUGGCAUAUUAAAAAGCAAAGACAUCACUUGGCCAACAAAGGUCCACAAAGUCAAAGCUAUGGUUUUUCCAGCAGUCAUCUACAGUUGUGAGACUUGGACCUUAAAGAAAGCUGAGCACCAAAGAAUUGAUGCUUUCAAAUUGUGGUGCUGGAGAAGACUCUCAAGAGUCCCUUGGACUGCAAGGGAAUCAAACCGUUCAACCCUAAAGGAAAUCGACUCUGAAUAUUCAUUAGAAGGACUGAUGCUGAAACUGAAGCUCCAAAAUUUUGGCCACCUGAUGUGAAGAGCGGACUCAUUGGAAAAGAUUCUGAUGCUGGGAAAGAUUGAAGGUGGGAGGAGAAGGGGACGACAGAGGACGAGAUGGUUAGAUGGCAUCACUGACUCAAUGGACAUGACUUUGAGUAUACUCCUGGAGUUGGUGAUGGACAGGGAAGCCUGGUGUGCUGCAGUCCAUGGGGUCGCAAAGAGUCAGACACGAUUUAGUGACAACAACAACAACAAAUUCACCCCAGACUGCUUCAACUAUUUAAC
ensembl:lncRNA